rnacentral:lncRNA from 1 species
GGCCAAGGGCAGGGGCAAAGGCAUCCUGAACGGACAGAAGUCCACAGGCAACUCCAAGUCGCCCAGCAAGUGUGUGAAGACGCCUAAGACCAAAAUGAAGCAGAUGACUUUGUUGGAUAUGGCCAAAGGGACUCAGAAGAUGACUCGCACCCCGAGGAGUUCUGGGGGUGUGCCAAGGUCUUCUGGCAAACCCCAUAAACACCUACCACCUGCAGCCCUGCAUCUGAUUGCCUAUUACAAAGAAAA